UAGCUUCAGCGAUGGAUCGGUUGAUUCGCGUAUCGAUGAAAAACGCAGCAAGCUGCGUUAUUUACCACGAAUUGCAGACGCUUAAAGUGGUGAAGUUUUGAACGCACAGGGCCGUUGGGUUUUCCCUUCGGCACGUUUGGGUCAGGGUUGUUUA
rnacentral:rRNA from 1 species